rnacentral:rRNA from 1 species
CCUACGGGCGGCAGCAGUCGAGAAUUAUUCACAAUGGGGGAAACCCUGAUGGUGCGACGCCGCGUGGGGGAAUGAAGGUCUUCGGAUUGUAACCCCCUGUCAUGUGGGAGCAAAUUAAAAAGAUAGUACCACAAGAGGAAGAGACGGCUAACUCUGUGCCAGCAGCCGCGGUAAUACAGAGGUCUCAAGCGUUGUUCGGAAUCACUGGGCGUAAAGCGUGCGUAGGCUGUUUCGUAAGUCGUGUGUGAAAGGCGCGGGCUCAACCCGCGGACGGCACAUGAUACUGCGAGACUAGAGUAAGGGAGGGGGAACCGGAAUUCUCGGUGUAGCAGUGAAAUGCGUAGAUAUCGAGAGGAACACUCGUGGCGAAGGCGGGUUCCUGGACAUUAACUGACGCUGAGGCACGAAGGCCAGGGGAGCGAAAGGGAUUAGAUACCCCUGUAGUC